GUGCCAGCAGCCGCGGUAAUACGGAGGGUGCAAGCGUUAAUCGGAAUUACUGGGCGUAAAGCGCGCGUAGGCGGCUAGGUCAGUCAGAUGUGAAAUCCCCGGGCUCAACCUGGGAAUUGCAUUUGAUACUGCCUGACUUGAGUGUGGUAGAGGGAAGCGGAAUUCCAGGUGUAGCGGUGAAAUGCGUAGAUAUCUGGAGGAACAUCAGUGGCGAAGGCGGCUUCCUGGACCAACACUGACGCUGAGGUGCGAAAGCGUGGGUAGCAAACAGGAUUAGAUACC
rnacentral:rRNA from 1 species